rnacentral:rRNA from 1 species
CGAACGCUGGCGGCGUGCUUAACACAUGCAAGUCGAACGCUGAAGCUUGGUGCUUGCACUGGGUGGAUGAGUGGCGAACGGGUGAGUAAUACGUGAGUAACCUGCCCUUGACUCUGGGAUAAGCCUGGGAAACUGGGUCCAAUACUGGAUACGACAUGUCACCGCAUGGUGGUGUGUGGAAAGGGUUUUACUGGUUUUGGAUGGGCUCACGGCCUAUCAGCUUGUUGGUGGGGUAAUGGCUCACCAAGGCGACGACGGGUAGCCGGCCUGAGAGGGUGACCGGCCACACUGGGACUGAGACACGGCCCAGACUCCUACGGGAGGCAGCAGUGGGGAAUAUUGCACAAUGGGCGGAAGCCUGAUGCAGCGACGCCGCGUGAGGGAUGACGGCCUUCGGGUUGUAAACCUCUUUCAGCACGGAAGAAGCGAAAGUGACGGUACGUGCAGAAGAAGCGCCGGCUAACUACGUG